rnacentral:tRNA from 1 species
UUCCUGGAGGACUAGUGGUUAGGCCACAGCGCUUUCACCGCUGCGGUCUGCGUUCCAUUCCUGGCUUGGAAA